UUGUGGGAAAAAAUAUUUUCUACAUACAUUUUGGAGUUGAAAAACAAAUCUUACCCAUUAUGGGUGUGGUAUGGCAGUUAUAUAAAGAGUAUUGUUAUUGAAAAAAAGCUACUUUAAUUAAGAUAAUCAAGGAUAUCGAUUUUAUAUGUUGUUGUUGGGAAGGUGGGCAGCCAGGCAGGAGGGGGUUAUGUGAGCCCCAGUGUUCCUGUGAGGUGUGUGUGUGUGUAUGUGUGGAUGCAAUAACCAUUAAUGUUGUAGGUCCCUCCAAGCACAGCUGUGUACUGUGUUGAACCAUAACCAUUAUCCUGGUGUGUGUGUGUGCGGGCUGCAUUUAAUUAUGUGUCUUGGAUGGGUCUAUGAGAUGUCGAGUACUAGAAAGGACAGACAGACACAGACACAGGGAUAGAAAGGAGCAGAGAAAAAAGAGCAAGAGGGACGCAGACAGACAGGCAUGCAGAUGACAGAGAAAAGAGCGAGAGAGAACCUAUGCCCACCCUUUCUCUUUGGGUCUCAGUAUGUACAUGUAAAUGAAAUGCCUUGUAAAUACAACCCAAGUUCAGAGUUUAGGAGCAUGCAUAAUUCAUAUUUUCUUUGUUUGGAAUGUUUUAUUUAUUUAUUUAUUUUUUUAUUUUUUUAUUUAUUUUUUUAUUUUUAUUAACCUCAUAUCUUAAAUCCUUAUUGUAAUAAAUGUUGGAUACUGCAUGACAAGAGGUAGUGAGAUAUCUAGAGGGAAAUGAUGCCUGCUUCCAUGCAACUGGUAGACUGCAUGCACUGAGUUCUCACAUGCCUCCACGUGUCUGUCUGUUAGAAUCUACUAAUGGUUGAACAUACACAUUUGUUUUGUAUAACAUGUUACGUUGUUGUGAGUAAAGCACUGAGACUGAAUUGUGAUUAAAGCACUGAGAUAGCCAUGCUCUUGUGCCACUGUAUAUCACUUAACUGAGCACCAGUCACCUAAUCUUAGACUUCUUGUAUGUUGCUGCAGUGAAGCACCAGCCACAGUAUCUUACAGUUAGAUCAAUAAAAGCACCAGUUACUAUACAGUCACCCAGAGAAAGCACCAGUUAUGUUUAGUUUUCACUCAUGUCCACACUUCACAAAGCUAAGGAGCAGAUCCCAAGUCACGCACACCCUGACGUCCUUCCCUCCCCUCCAUCCCCUGCAGGACUCCCGGUGCAGACGGCAGUGGCCCGGGGAUGAGCCAGCCAGUGUUUGCCAUGCCACCACCCUCCCAGGGCACCAACCCAUUCUCUGCAGGGGCUAACGAAAGCACCUCCCUCAACACCGGCUCACAGCCCACCUACACACCAGGCAUGUCGCAGAAUGCAUCUCCUAGUCAUGGCCAGUACUAGCCAGGACCAGCAUAGAGGAGGCUGGGAUGUCACCACCAGACUACUGUAGAAGAAGCUACUCCUGUCCUCCAUGCACCUCCUCAGCCUGUCCCCCGGUGUGAGAGAGGCCCCAGGGGUGGAGGAGCUGUGCCCAUUUCACUUGACCUGAGUGUAUGAAGAUGAAGUUGCGUGCAUGCGUGUGUCUGUUCGUGUGUGUUGUGUUUACCGAGUGCCAGACUGUGUUGUUCGCCUGUCCCAAGUGGUGUUUUAUUCGUAUUGAAAGAGAGAGAGCGAGUGAGUCAGGUAUAUAAUCGUAGCAUAUCAGUUAAAUCGCUUUAUUUAAUAUGCCAUCAUCUUCAUUCAUCAGUGCAGCAUAUAAGCAACCCAGCUUUCUAAUGAUGUAGUCUGUAAACUGCAGGUAAUGACUGGCUGGUAUGAAUAUAUAUAUACAUAUACAUAUUUCACCUCUCAAUUAGUCACCUAGAGGUUGUGUGACAAUGUUCAGUUGAGUAGGAUAAGGGGGAAUUAUUAUUAUUAUUAUUAUUAUUAUUUACAAAGCAGCAUCUUCUUCCUACUGAUCUAUCCUUUCCCACUAUGAACAUGUUCCUCAUCUCACUGGACUUGUGUCGUCGGCAGGUGCACCUUUUUUUCUGUUCACCUGUCACAGGGAAGAGGAAGCUACAGUUAAAAUUCUCAUUUUUAUUCCAGUCACUGACUCACCAAACACAUAGGCACAAGAUGUAGAUGUCAUGUUACUUAUUUGUUUUUUCAUUAUUACUGUGGCACUGAUAUUGAGUGCUCUAGAUUUUAGUGUCUUCUUUAUUGAUUUUUUAUUAGUAAAUUAACUUUUUACAGUGGUAGUUCUAAGGUCACUGUAACAUGGUGAUGAAGUAUUUAUUCCAAGUUAUGUUAAUAAAAUUUGGAGAGCUCAUUAUAUACAUGUGUUGGAAUCAGCUCUGGUGGGUUAACAGUUUAGUGAGUCAGUCCAGCUGCAUGUGCUGUGGAGGCUCUGCUCUGAUGAGGAGAGGAAUGAGGGCAGAGAAGUAUUCAUCAACAUUUGUCAAAUGGAAAGUCAAGUGCUGGGAUCUUUUUCUCCUCCACCAAGGCACUUCACUCACAACCAGUCACACAGCGACUCAGUUAUCACGGUAAAAAAAUAUUCCUUGGUCUUUUUUCCAGUUGACGCUAAAUCACUCAAGCAAUGAAGGAAUUUUUUUUGUUGCAUCUUUACAUUAUUGAUAUGAGUGAAAGGGAGUAGAGAGAUCCCACAAUUAGCAGUGAAAUUUGGUGCCUGGCUAGUAGGGUGUGUUUACAAAUUUGCAUGCACCAUCCCAAUUAACAUUUAUAUUGCAAAAAAAAAAUUACCUUGGAAAACUGAGGUAAGAUAUAAAAGCGAAUUAACGUCUAAACAAAUGUAGAUUAUCAUACUGUUUGGACAAUUUAACUUUACCGUCUCAUUAUUUCUCGGUAGUUUGCAUCUUGAUCUGAGCAUGGCAGUCUAGUUGGUUAGUGUGUCAAGCCAUGGAAGUGAAGAACCAGGGCAAGGUUGUUAGGAAGGGUGUUAACUCUAAAGCCCUGAACCACAGCCUCAAAACAGUGACCCUAUUUGAAGAAGCUGUCAAGAGAAAGAAUAAGAAUAUGAACACAAAUUUAAGUGGUGCAUACGAUUUAGCAAACACGCCUUACCCGUCUAGCACUACAUAUCGGAUCGCUCUGUUCAGUCUGUUAGUCAUGGAGAGAAGGAAAAGCUCUGUCCAGCCUUCACAUGGCAGCCACUCAUCUCAAGGGUUCAUUGUCACUACUUUUCUGCACCUCCUAGUCAUGUGGUGCUGUCAUCCUUGCACCGACACUGGGCAUUACCUUCAGGCUGCCCCUCAUCUCUGUGACCUGUGCUGGGAAUGGAGAAGACAGGGGAGGAUGGUUGAAGCAUAUUGAUCCACCGCACUUUAAACUCCUUACUCUGCAGCCUCUCUCGAUGCAGCAAGUCACGCCCCCGCUCCACCAACUUAUCUGUCAUUGCACUCUCCUUUCUCUUCAAGCUCCUUCCUCCCAGUGACUUGUCGUGUUGAAAAGGGUUGCCGAGGAGUUAGGAGUGAGGUAAAUCGAUAUCCUUUCAACCAUACCUGUCUGUGCCAAUAGCUUUCCUUUGCUGUCAGGACUUCUUCUCAUUUUUUGACACUUUGUUUAUCUCGCUGUUUCUUAUUUGUCUUUGGUUGUUUUCAGCAGUUUAGUUCACAUGAAUGGGUUCUGCUAGUAUGGGAACUUCUACUGUUAUUAACUCUCUCUCUUUAGUUUCUCUCUCCCCUUCUAUGUUUAUCUUCCUUUUCUGAUACCUUUGCAGUAAGUUUGAAAGAGCAGUUUUAUUUCUUUGUCCUUUUUUUUUCUCUUUUCCUUUUUAGGCAAGUAACUACUGCUGCUGUUUUCAGUUGGGCCUCAUCUGCACUUUUAUUUAUUGAUAUUCCCCGUACAUAAGGUUAGAACAGUGUGGUCACGGGUUCCACGGAGCGGUGUCUCAAACCUAAAGUGAAUUAGAACCCAUGGUGUAUGUACUUAUAUAAUUUUCCUUUUUUAUUAUUAUUAUUAUUAUUAGUGUGUUAAUGGUUUGAACAUGGGUUAGGAUGGUAAAGGGUGUUGUUCAUUGAAGUGUCAAAUAUGUUUAUGAAAGUGUGUGUGUGUGUAUGUAUGUAUUGGUGUGAAUGAGGCAAUGAGAUUACUGGUCAUGGUUGAUGUCUUUGUAUUUCCCUCAUGUUUUUUUUUUUUUUAAGGCUUUUUUUAUGCUAACCCCAAAUAGUGUAAUCCCCAAAGUCUGGCAGAGUAGUGCUGAGUUUAGUUUGUUUUGGAUAUGGUGCGUUACUUUUUGUUUCUCAGUCUAGGAAGAUUUGUGAAGAAAUUACCAUUAAUCAAAGCUGUAAAAAUAUAGAAAACCUCGCAAUGUAGCUUAAUUCCAAGGCUUACUCUGAUAACCAACACCCCUUCAUUUUAGAUCUUUUUACAGUAUGGCCUCAAAAACUUUAUUUCACCCGUCACCGCAGUUAUCCUGAUACUUCUCACCCUUUUGUUUACCUUUUUUCCCAUAGUCAGAGACAUUUGCCUUAACACACAAGAUCACCAACCCGAUUGUUUUAUUUUGCUGACUUUUCCUCCUCAAGUGACUUUCAUUGUGUGUGUUUUGGUAUGAGUGACUGUGACGGCAGAUCUUGUUGUCCUUCUUUCCUCGGCUUAGUCCUCUGGCCUGGAGGAAUUGAGUGUUAAUAGUGGAUGUGAAUUGUCCAUGUAGAUGUGCUCAAUACCUCCACAAAAUAGGACAACCAACACACACACACACACACACACACACACACACACACACACACAUCACACAUUACACAUUACACAUACAUAUACCACACAUACAUCUAGAUACAUCUUUAAGCCUCUUUAGAUGUAUAUACAUAUGUCUUCUUACUGCUCUCUGUCCCUCACUAGACAUGUAAGAUGAUAAACACUAUAAUGAUUGCAUGUCUGUCUAGAGAAGAGAUGCACACUAUUCUAUUCCAGCAGUGUUCAGCUGUAACUUGUUUGGGGAAGUGUUAGACUUGUGUGUUGGUGAAUAAUGAUGAUAAUAACAAUAAUAAUAAUAAUAAUAUCUAUAGAUUUACCACUAUCCAUUUUAUGACCAUUGUUGAUAUUGUUAAAUUUGAGAAGACUAGAGGAAACUGCUGAGAGUGGCUUAUUAAGGUGUGAAUGUAGAAUUAGUGGAUGCAGAGAGUAACAUUAGCUGGCAGGAGAGUACAUGAUGAAGUGGUUUAAAAGUUUUGCUUCAUGUUUUAUUUAAGAGUUGAGGUUUGAAUGUCUUGUUCAUGGGUGAAAUCUCAUUUGGAUUGGAUGGAUACUAAACUGUAAACUCAGAAUGGUGUGGACAUUUCUAUUUGCUUGUAUCAUUAGGCAAAGUUCAGUGUUCCAAAACCUGUAAAAAAAAGAUAAAAAAUUACGUACUCUUGUCUUGAUGUAGUAAGAAAUGAUUGUGCUCUCAAAUAUCUGUGAAAAUUUGUUGAGAUUUAUGUGCCAGCUAAGUGUGACUCGUUUAGUGAAGAAAACAUUUAGGGGUUGUGUAGGAAUCCAUCACACAGAGAUAAAUUUUUGCAUUCUGGGACGUGGAGUAGACAUGUCACCGAGUCGUCUGGCGUGUAAUGUAGGAGUUGUGGGUUCCGUCAUUCCAUUCCCGAGUCACCCACCACAGCGAGGGAAGAUUAGGGUGCAUUUGCCAGCUCUUACUCACCCUUUGAUUAGCACUCAUGUCAGGAAGAAACCAUAAUGGAAAACUGAGCUGAGGCCUAAAAAUUUACAAUGUCAAACUAUAGAUUAAUAAACAUUUCCUAUUUUGACAAGAUCUCAUUUUUAUACCUCAACUCAAUUUUUUGGAGUGGUUAUUUUCCCAUCAUGAGUGCAAUUAAGGAUGAGUUGUUGGUGAGAAUACCCACAGCAGAGGUAGGAAGGAGGGUCAUGACCUUUUAGCCUUUCCAGUUACUGAUUGCAGACAGCUCAUUCUCAUUCCACACUAAUAACGAUUUUCUUUGGCUUUCAUAACUUGCUAAGAAUUGCAGAAGUAAUGCCAGUGUACAAUUUAGUAACGUAACCCUUCGUAAUGUGGUGGAUGUCAGUGCUGCUGGCUAAGUGUUCUUCCCUCUUGUCCACUUCAAGCUGCAUCAUCGUGUCUAUCAGUCAAAGAGAGGCAGUUCUGAGUAUGUCCUCCCGUAAUUCCCCUUGGAUGGGAUGAGAGUGAGUGAUAAAGUGGAAAUGUUCUGGGAAUGGCAGCUUCCUGUCUUUCUCCAAGUAUUAAACAAGCAUUGUGCAUGACUCACCACUACAUGCAUUUCCCAACUUUCAGGGUCCUCUGUAUGCCUCAACUUUCUGUAGCUCUCUAUGGUAGCAAAGGUUUAUUGUUCAUCUUUCUGUGAGGCUUCAUUGGGAGAAAAUUCAUAAUAAAACUAUUCUUGCCUUUGACGCUUAAGAAGGCUGGAUAGGAUCUCUGACAGCUUGAAAAAACACUCUGCCAUUAGGGCGCA